rnacentral:lncRNA from 1 species
CGCGGCGCUGCUGGAGCGGGCGGCGAACACGUCGCCGGGCGUCGUCGGGACUAGCCAGGGGGCGCCUCUGGCCGAUGACAGAAGAGAGAGAGCACCAGCCGGGGACGUCGGCAGGCCGCCGUACGGCACGAAACCGUGCGCCAACGACGCCAUCCCUGCAACAAAUUCAAGCAGAGCUUUCGCCGCGUUAGUUCGUUGCACGCAAACUGUAUGUCGUCCUUCCUUGCUAGUGUAUGCAGAUCAGGCUACGACGCGCAUGUUGUCCAAUUUGUGUUUGAGCUGCAAAAUCAAAAGGAUUCGGUAUGUUUGUCCUCGAUCGUCAUCUGCGCUGGAAACUCGAGUAUGUUACCUAGACGGCUACCAGGUUGGUGAGCACCAGUAGACGAUUGAUGAGUUGAUGACUGCAGCUUGUAUGCACAAACAUCACAAAAAUCACAGUGAAACACCAUCAGUACGUACGCGUAAUAAAGAUUUGGUCACUGUUUCGCCAACCUGACGCGAGAUGAUUCUCCUCUCAGUCAAUUAUCAAGCUUUGUAGGAGUAUCAUAGUUACUGUUUGAAAGAACACGCUGAUGCUU